GGCCGCUUAGCUCAGCUGGUUAGAGCAUUGUACUAAUAAUGCAAAGGUCGGCAGUUCGAUCCUGUCAGUGGUCA